rnacentral:tRNA from 1 species
CCGUGGUUAGUUCAAACAGUAGAGCGCUCCACUGGAAAUGAAGAGGUCCCGGGUUCGAUACCCGGACAAGGCG